CAUUUGUUGCCUUUGAAACUCCUUCAGAGAAUCUUUCUGGAUUGAAAUCUCCAGCAUCAUCACCCCAAAAUUCUUUUUCUUGGUGCAUCAUUGAUACAGGUACAAUAAGCUCUACUCCUGCAGGAAGUGUUAGGUCUCCAAGUUUUGUGUCUUUGCGAAGAUAUCUUGAUAGCAUAAUGACUGGGGGAUAUAACCUUAGACUUUCUUGAAGAAUCAUUGACACCUGUUUCAUAUAUAAUAUAAUCAUAAUUAAGAUCCAAAAUCAAGUAUUAUUCAUGUUUAGAAUAUUAAACAUGACAAAACUUAGGUCUAUUUUCUUAGAUGUUUUUUAAUGAUUCUUAAUUUAACCGAUUAUAAUGUUUUAAUUUCUUCAAAUUCAUAAUUUUCUUAAAGUCAAAAUAUAUAACAAAAUGCACUAAGUUUUUUCCAAUUGAAUAAAGUAGUCACGAUUAGAAAAAAGAAUUUAAACUCGUGGUGAAAUUCAUCACUCCUUCCUUUCUUACUAGAUUUAGUGAAAACUUUAGAAACAAUUUUGUAUUUUGUCAUCUCUAAUUUUCCUCAUAAACUAUUAGUUUUAAAUAUAGAGCACUCAAAUAAAAGCCAAUAAAUCAUAGAAAGUGAAAACUUACAAUUUUAAGUUGACCUAUCUUUUCAUAAUCAGGUUUAUCAUUACCAAACACUUGAAAAGCUUCCUCUCUUGCCUUAGUUUGCCAAUCAGGAUUCUUGCUUAGUAAUAACAAAGUCCAAACAAGCAAUUCAGC
rnacentral:lncRNA from 1 species